AUUGAACGCUGGCGGCAGGCCUAACACAUGCAAAUCGAACGAGUGGCGGACGGGUGAGUAAUGUCUGGGAAACUGCCUGAUGGAGGGGGAUAACUACUGGAAACGAUAGCUAAUACCGCAUACUGUGAGAUGGAUCUGCGUUGUAUUAGCUAGUUGGUGAGGUAAAGGCUCAACAAGGCGACGAUACAUAGCCGACCUGAGCGGGUGAUCGGCCACACGGGGACUGAGACACGGCCCUGACUCCUACGGUAGGCAGCAGUGGGGAAUAUUGCACAAUGGGCGCAAGCCUGAUGCAGCCAUGCCGCGUGUAUGAAGAAGGCCUUCGGGUUGUAAAGUACUUUCAGCGGGGAGGCGUUACCCGCAGAAGAAGCACCGGCUAACUCCGUGCCAGCAGCCGCGGUAAUUC
rnacentral:rRNA from 1 species